rnacentral:tRNA from 1 species
AGGAUAUAGCUCAGUGGGUAGAGUGCUUGUCUUACAUGCACAAGGCCCUGGGUUCAAUCCCCAGCACUAAUUCUA